AAAGACCUGGCGUUAUUCGAGCGGCCGACGUCUGAUUAGCUAGUUGGUGAGGUAAAGGCUCACCAAGGCGACGAUCAGUAGCGGGUCUGAGAGGAUGAUCCGCCACACUGGGACUGAGACACGGCCCAGACUCCUACGGGAGGCCGCAGUGGGGAAUUUUGGACAAUGGGGGCAACCCUGAUCCAGCCAUGCCGCGUGUCUGAAGAAGGCCUUCGGGUUGUAAAGGACUUUUGUUAGGGAGCAAGUCCUGCAGGUUAAGAGCCAGUAGGGAUGAGAGUACCUAAAGAAUAAGCACCGGCUAACUACGUGCCAGCAGCCGCGGUAAUACGUAGGGUGCAAGCGUUAAUCGGAAUUACUGGGCGUAAAGGGUGCGCAGGCGGUAUUGUAAGCCAGAUGUGAAAUCCCCGGGCUCAACCUGGGAACU
rnacentral:rRNA from 1 species